UAAGAGGUCCCGCCUGCCCUGUGACUAUAUGUUUAACGGCCGCGGUAUUUUGACCGUGCAAAGGUAGCGCAAUCACUUGUCCUUUAAAUGGGGACCUGUAUGAAUGGCAUAACGAGGGCUUAGCUGUCUCCUCUUUCAAGUCAAUGAAAUUGAUCUUCCCGUGCAGAAGCGGGAAUAAUAACAUAAGACGAGAAGACCCUAUGGAGCUUUAGACACAAAAUAGACCACGUCAAACACCCUUGAAUAAAAGAACAAACUAAGUGGACCCUGUUCAAAUGUCUUUGGUUGGGGCGACCACGGGGUAACAAAAAACCCCCAUGUGGAGUAAAACACCAUUUUAAAACCAAGAGCCACUGCUCUAAUAAACAGAACAUCUGACCAAUGAGAUCCGGCCUAGCCGAUCAACGAACCGAGUUACCCUAGGGAUAACAGCGCAAUCCUCUUUUAGAGUCCAUAUCGACAAGAGGGUUUACGACCUCGAUGUUGGAUCAGGACAUCCUAAUGGUGCAGCCGCUAUUAAGGUUCG
rnacentral:rRNA from 1 species